ACUGCAGUCGAGCGAAUGGAUUAAGAGCUUGCUCUUAUGAAGUUAGCGGCGGACGGGUGAGUAACACGUGGGUAACCUGCCCAUAAGACUGGGAUAACUCCGGGAAACCGGGGCUAAUACCGGAUAACAUUUUGAACCGCAUGGUUCGAAAUUGAAAGGCGGCUUCGGCUGUCACUUAUGGAUGGACCCGCGUCGCAUUAGCUAGUUGGUGAGGUAACGGCUCACCAAGGCAACGAUGCGUAGCCGACCUGAGAGGGUGAUCGGCCACACUGGGACUGAGACACGGCCCAGACUCCUACGGGAGGCAGCAGUAGGGAAUCUUCCGCAAUGGACGAAAGUCUGACGGAGCAACGCCGCGUGAGUGAUGAAGGCUUUCGGGUCGUAAAACUCUGUUGUUAGGGAAGAAC
rnacentral:rRNA from 1 species